GAAUUCGCCCUUAGAGUUUGAUCCUGGCUCAGGACGAACGCUGGCGGCGUGCCUAACACAUGCAAGUCGAGCGAGUGGAGUUCUUCGGAACAAAGCUAGCGGCGGACGGGUGAGUAACACGUGGGCAACCUGCCUCAUAGAGGGGAAUAGCCUCCCGAAAGGGAGAUUAAUACCGCAUAAGAUUGUAGCUUCGCAUGAAGUAGCAAUUAAAGGAGUAAUCCGCUAUGAGAUGGGCCCGCGGCGCAUUAGCUAGUUGGUGAGGUAACGGCUCACCAAGGCGACGAUGCGUAGCCGACCUGAGAGGGUGAUCGGCCACAUUGGGACUGAGACACGGCCCAGACUCCUACGGGAGGCAGCAGUGGGGAAUAUUGCACAAUGGGGGAAACCCUGAUGCAGCAACGCCGCGUGAGUGAUGACGGCCUUCGGGUUGUAAAGCUCUGUCUUCAGGGACGAUAAUGACGGUACCUGAGGAGGAAGCCACGGCUAACUACGUGCCAGCAGCCGCGGUAAUACGUAGGUGGCGAGCGUUGUCCGGAUUUACUGGGCGUAAAGGGAGCGUAGGCGGACUUUUAAGUGAGAUGUGAAAUACCCGGGCUCAACUUGGGUGCUGCAUUUCAAACUGGAAGUCUAGAGUGCAGGAGAGGAGAAUGGAAUUCCUAGUGUAGCGGUGAAAUGCGUAGAGAUUAGGAAGAACACCAGUGGCGAAGGCGAUUCUCUGGACUGUAACUGACGCUGAGGCUCGAAAGCGUGGGGAGCAAACAGGAUUAGAUACCCUGGUAGGUCCACGCCGUAAACGAUGAAUACUAGGUGUAGGGGUUGUCAUGACCUUUGUGCCGCCGCUAACGCAUUAAGUAUUCCGCCUGGGGAGUACGGUCGCAAGAUUAAAACUCAAAGGAAUGGACGGGGGCCCGCACAAGCAGCGGAGCAUGUGGUUUAAUUUGAAGCAACGCGAAGAACCUUACCUAGACUUGACAUCUCCUGCAUUACCCUUAAUCGGGGAAGUUCCUUCGGGGACAGGAAGACAGGUGGUGCAUGGUUGUCGUCAGCUCGUGUCGUGAGAUGUUGGGUUAAGUCCCGCAACGAGCGCAACCCUUAUUGUUAGUUGCUACCAUUUAGUUGAGCACUCUAGCGAGACUGCCCGGGUUAACCGGGAGGAAGGUGGGGAUGACGUCAAAUCAUCAUGCCCCUUAUGUCUAGGGCUACACACGUGCUACAAUGGCAAGUACAAAGAGAAGCAAGACCGCGAGGUGGAGCAAAACUCAAAAACUUGUCUCAGUUCGGAUUGUAGGCUGAAACUCGCCUACAUGAAGCUGGAGUUGCUAGUAAUCGCGAAUCAGCAUGUCGCGGUGAAUACGUUCCCGGGCCUUGCACACACCGCCCGUCA
rnacentral:rRNA from 1 species